UACGUAGGGUGCAAGCGUUAAUCGGAAUUAUUGGGCGUAAAGCGUGCGCAGGCGGUUUUGUAAGUCUGUCGUGAAAUCCCCGGGCUCAACCUGGGAAUUGCGAUGGAGACUGCAAGGCUAGAAUCUGGCAGAGGGAGGUGGAAUUCCACGUGUAGCGGUGAAAUGCGUAGAGAUGUGGAGGAACACCGAUGGCGAAGGCAGCCUCCUGGGCCAAUACUGACGCUCAUGCACGAAAGCGUGGGGAGCAAACAGG
rnacentral:rRNA from 1 species